AGCCCGCUCAGAAACUCAAAUGAAUUGACGGGGCCCGCACAAGCGGUGGAGCAUGUGGUUUAAUCGAUGAUACGCGAGGAACCUUACCUGGGCUCAAAUGUAUGUUGACGUAUUCUGAAAGGGAUACUUCUUCGGACAAUAUACAAGGUGCUGCAUGGUUGUCGUCAGCUCGUGCCGUGAGGUGUCGGGUUAAGUCCCAUAACGAGCGCAACCCCUAUCAUUAGUUGCCAUCAGGUCAAGCUGGGGACUCUAAUGAAACUGCCUACGCAAGUAGUGAGGAAGGUGGGGAUGACGUCAAAUCAGCACGGCCCUUACGUCCAGGGCUACACACGUGCUACAAUGGCCGGUACAAAGGGCAGCUACCUGGUGACAGGAUGCUAAUCUCAAAAGCCGGUCUCAGUUCGGAUCGGAGUCUGCAACCCGACUCCGUGAAGCUGGAUUCGCUAGUAAUCGCGCAUCAGCCACGGCGCGGUGAAUACGUUCCCGGGCCUU
rnacentral:rRNA from 1 species